rnacentral:rRNA from 1 species
UACGGGGGGGGCAAGCGUUGUUCGGAAUUACUGGGCGUAAAGGGUUUGUAGGUGGCUUGUUAAGUCAGACGUGAAAUCCCUCAGCUUAACUGGGGAACUGCGUCUGAUACUGGCGAGCUUGAGUGCAGGAGAGGAACGCGGAAUUCCAGGUGUAGCAGUGAAAUGCGUAGAUAUCAGGAGGAACACCGAUGGCGAAGGCAGGUCUCUGGGCUGAAACUGACGCUCAUGCACGAAAGCGUGGGGAGCAAACAGG